UACGUAGGGUCCGAGCGUUGUCCGGAAUCAUUGGGCGUAAAGGGCUCGUAGGCGGUUUGUUGCGUCGGGAGUGAAAUCUUACAGCUUAACUGUGAACUUGCUUUCGAUACGGGCAGACUUGAGGCAUUCAGGGGAGAACGGAAUUCCUGGUGUAGCGGUGAAAUGCGCAGAUAUCAGGAGGAACACCGGUGGCGAAGGCGGUUCUCUGGGAAUGUCCUGACGCUGAUGCGCGAAAGCCAGGGGAGCAAACGGG
rnacentral:rRNA from 1 species